CGUUGUUCGGAAUUACUGGGCGUAAAGCGCACGUAGGCGGUUUUGGAAGUUAUAGGUGAAAGCCCGGAGCUCAACUCCGGAACUGCCUUUAAGACUGCAUCGCUUGAAUCCAGGAGAGGUGAGUGGAAUUCCGAGUGUAGAGGUGAAAUUCGUAGAUAUUCGGAAGAACACCAGUGGCGAAGGCGGCUCACUGGACUGGUAUUGACGCUGAGGUGCGAAAGCGUGGGGAGCAAACAGG
rnacentral:rRNA from 1 species